UACGUAGGGUGCGAGCGUUGUCCGGAAUUAUUGGGCGUAAAGGGCGCGUAGGCGGCCUGAUAAGUCGGGGGUGAAAUCCUGCGGCUUAACCGCAGGGCUGCCUUCUAAACUGUCAGGCUCGAGCACAGUAGAGGCAGGUGGAAUUCCCGGUGUAGCGGUGGAAUGCGUAGAUAUCGGGAAGAACAUCAGUGGCGAAGGCGGCCUGCUGGGCUGUUGCUGACGCUGAGGCGCGACAGCGUGGGGAGCAAACAGG
rnacentral:rRNA from 1 species